UACGGGGGGGGGCAAGCGUUGUUCGGAAUUACUGGGCGUAAAGGGCUCGUAGGUGGCCAACUCAGUCAGACGUGAAAUCCCUCGGCUUAACCGGGGAACUGCGUCUGAUACUGGAUGGCUUGAGGUUGGGAGAGGGAUGUGGAAUUCCAGGUGUAGCGGUGAAAUUCGUAGAUAUUAGGAAGAACACCAGUGGCGAAGGCGCUCACUGGCCCGGUACUGACGCUGAGGCG
rnacentral:rRNA from 1 species